UACGUAGGGGGCUAGCGUUGUCCGGAAUCAUUGGGCGUAAAGCGCGUGUAGGCGGUCCGGUAAGUCCGCUGUGAAAGUCGAGGGCUCAACCCUCGAAUGCCGGCGGAUACUGUCGGGCUUGAGUACGGGAGAGGCGAGUGGAAUUCCUGGUGUAGCGGUGAAAUGCGCAGAUAUCAGGAGGAACACCGAUUGCGAAGGCAGCUCGCUGGAACGUUACUGACGCUGAGACGCGAAAGCCAGGGGAGCAAACGGG
rnacentral:rRNA from 1 species